UCUCUCUCACACACACACUCUCGGAAAGGAAAUUCUCUACAGAUCUAAUACUUCUCUCACUCUCAAGCAAAUUUAUUACUUGUCUCAAAAAAUUAACCAUGGGAAAAAUUCAUGAUGGUUGUAUUUACUAGUUAGGGUUCAAAAACUUUCAGAGGAUUUGAAAACGGCUAGCUCACCUCUGAUUUCAGGUUUUAUCAGAGCUUCAACUCACCAACUUAUUAGGGUUGGUGUUCUUAUAGGCAAAGCUCGAGAGACCAUUCAGUUAUUGCAGGAUUCAGGAGCUAAAAUUCAAAUCACAAGAGAUGCUGAAGCUGAUAGAUAUGCAACAACCAGACCUAUUGAAUUAGAUUCAGAUAAAAGUCCCAAUGAGAAGUUGGUCUGAUCGUUGGCAAGGGAGGUGAAACAAUUAAAUCCUACAGACAAGACCUGGAUCAAAUAUCUAGGUAGUUGAUACCGUUAAGCUUUGUUUGCAGUGUACCUUGUGAUGCAAUGAAAGGACUUCGAUCAACCAGCAUGACUUAAUCAUUUCACUGAAAGCUAAUUAGUCUAGUUACCUGAACAAUACUUAUUAUGUGGGUCUACUGUCUCAAUAUCCUUAUUACUUAUGAUAGUAUGAGAUACCUACCCUGCUCAUUCGUAACAUUAAUGGAGCAUUUUCUUGGAUAUGUAUGUUACUCCAAUAGUAGGUGUGCUGAUGAUAGUUUUAUGCAAUUUCUGUUUGCUUCUCGGAGCCGUUCAUCCAUGCUUCUCAAGCUAGCCAAGUUUUUUACUGCAACGAUUUGAAAAUGAAGCAUUGGUAUCUGGUUUUGGAAUCUCCUAUAAGAUCAGACCCCAUAUGAAUGCUUUUGAAGAUCCAUAUGUCUUCACUGCAACCUCUAGUGAUGCUCCAUUGAUUUCAGAAACGGUUGGAGAUGAUGAUUAUUGGAGUGGAACUGCUCAGGGAGAUGAUGAGUAUUCAGAUGUAGAUGAUCAGGAACUAGCACUAGCUGAAUGUGCAGACGAUGAAUAUUCGGAUGGGGAUGCUUAGGAACUAGCUGAAUGUGGGUUGUAGAUAUUCAAUCACAAUGUUUUUUCGAGGAAUGAGGUCAUUAUGGAAAUGUUGUUGCCGCUGUUGUAUUGAUGAUGGUUUGAUACCUUCAUGGAUGCCGUCACUCUGUUCCCGUUGGUCUCAUGAGGAUAACUGAUGUCAUGGUUGAUGGUAAGAUCGUUGUUCCUGCUGGAUGUAAAAAUGGUUGAAAGAGUUGUGCGUCUACAGUCUGCUCUCACGCAAGCUAGUGCCAAGAUCCUAAUGACUGAAAUUGUUGUUGAAAUUCUCAGGACUUGUAUCACUUAAGAAACCUUAAUAAUUAGAAGUUUUUUUUAAUGAUUUUGGACUAAAUUUAUGAGUACAGUUCAAUGUAAUUGAGCUGUCAUUUGGUAUUAGACAAAUCAGGUUCUAUAUAGAAUUUGAAUUUGAAUUUGAGAAUUUGAAUUUCACUUGAAUUUGGGACCUUGAGUAAUUGUCAUA